rnacentral:rRNA from 1 species
UACGUAGGGGGCAAGCGUUGUCCGGAAUUAUUGGGCGUAAAGCGCGCGCAGGCGGCUACUUAAGUCUGGUGUUUAAACCUUGGGCUCAAACCUGGAGGUCGCACUGGAAACUGGGUGGCUUGAGUACAGAAGAGGAAAGUGGAAUUCCACGUGUAGCGGUGAAAUGCGUAGAGAUGUGGAGGAACACCAGUGGCGAAGGCGACUUUCUGGGCUGUAACUGACGCUGAGGCGCGAAAGCGUGGGGAGCAAACAGG